GUGCUCACUUCGGCAGCACAUAUACUAAAACCCGAACCAUCCAGAGAUGAUCAGCAUGGCUCUUGCACAAGGAUGGCACAUAAAUAUUUGAAGCAUUCUGUAGGAUA
ensembl:snRNA U6 U6 spliceosomal RNA